ACUCAUGCCUUCUUCUGGCCACUGCAGGCAAUUUACAAACACGUGAUACAUACGCAUAUACUCAGGUACACACAGGUACACAUAAACUAUACUUGAUUUUUAUAUAUUAUCUCUCUGUGUAGUCCCACCUGCCCUAGAACUCAAUAUGUAGACCAGGCUGGCCUCAUACUCAUGGAUAUCCUCCUGCCUCUGUCUCUCCAGUUCUGAGACUAAAGGCAUGCACUACCAUGCUCAGUUCUAAAGUAAAAUCUUUUCUAAAAAGUUCUUGGCAGCCGGGCGUGAUGGCGCACACCUUUAAUUCCAGCACUUGGGAGGCAGAGACAGAUGAAUUUCUGAGUUCAAGGUCAGCUUGGUCUAUAGAGAGAGUUCCAGGACAGUCAGGGCUAUACAGAGAAACCCUGUCUCGAGGAAAAAAACAAAAAAACAAAAAACACCAAAAGAACAAAACAAAAACAAAAACAAAACAAAACAAAACAGUUCUUGGUUAUGGCUAUGGAGCCUUGAGACUUACCAAAGGGCUAUGGCCAUUGUCAGGAUGAUAGUAGGAUUCUUUCUGUCUCCAGGGAAUACUGUGGUGUCAAAGGCUAUCAUGGGAGCUGGCUGACCCUAGGGCUUAAAAGGAAAUAUAGGGCUGAUUCAAAGCAAGGCCCUUGGGCUGGAGUUUACAUUUUUUUCUGUACAGUCAUCAUACUUAUGUACUCCUGUUCAUACACUCCAUAAGGACAGAGAUAUAUAUUAAACCCAUUCCCCAGAGGGACUGUGAUCUGACAUUAGUCCCUGCAGAUACCAUGCUCCUUCUAGGAAUCAGGGCCCAGGGAAUUUGUAUGACUGGUGUCUCAACUUUUGUUCUGGCCCCUUCUUUCCCAUCUCAGAACCCCCAGUACCCUCACACUCUUCUGAGCCCUUCCUGGCCCUGCUCUCUUCCCUACGGACAUUAUUAUUAAUAUUGACUGUGAGGAAACCUGACUGGCUAUUUAAGCCAGCAUAGUAGCUCUAUACUGGGGAGGGGAAUGCAAGGCAGUGGAAGCCCUGAGCCCCCAUGGUGUUUGGUAAUGGGAACGGCAGACAGGUGUUUUCAGUUAGUCUGAUGAGGGCCAUAUGUGUACAAUGCUGGCCGUGGCUGGUGAUGGCCAACUUUCCUUCCUGCUAGGCAGUGGACAUGAACCUGACUGACCCCAGGGGCAGGCACAGAGUGGGAGCCAUGUAACCUUCUCUCCUCACCCUUUAUUCUUCCCCUAGAUUAUUCUAAACUUCACAUCCAUGGACCUGUACCGUAGCCGCCUGUGCUGGUAUGACUAUGUGGAGGUGCGGGAUGGCUUCUGGAGAAAGGCGCCCCUCCGAGGUAAAGGGCCCCUCAGCCUCUUCAGCCGCCUGGUUCUUUGUUGGAACCCGUUGGGGCCCAAUACCCUAAGCAGGGUGACAUCCCCAUAUGAGAUCUACAAACUCUGAUGUAGUUGGUCCCAGCUAGUCCCAACACUAAUUAGUGCCGUGACAGUGGGCGAAUUCUGUUUGGGAUGCCACAGGCUUUCAGUUCUUGGUGCUGGCUUUAGGUCUACCCUCUGGAAAUGUUCUUUCACUGUGAGGGUUGGGGAGUCAAAGGAAUAUACAAAGAUGUCUGACAGGCUGCUCUUCACAUCCUGUAGCUCUAGGCUCACACCCUCACUGGGAUUUCCUUGAUAACUGCAGGCCUGGAGCAAUGGCCUGGCUCUGUUUGUUCAAGAUACUUUGUCACUAAUUGUAUAUGUGUUUGCACACACACACACACACACACACACACACACACACACACGUAUGAAGUAAGUGGGAUAAAGACUGCGCAAAGCCACAGGGCAAAGCAAGGCAUAGUAGUGUUGUACUUCUAACUCUGGGGAAGCCAGAGGCAGAGUGAUCCUGAGUUUGAGGAUAGCCUGGGCUACAUAGCAAGAUCCUAUCUUAACAAGAACGAAAUCUAAAGCACCAUUGGACACAAAGGCAGCUCAGUGGACACAAAAUUCGAGCAAAGGGAACAUCUGCAUCAAGCCUGAAGUGUUGUGUGACGCUGUUCAUUGUUCUGUCUGUAGUCGGAAGUGAUUGGGGGCUACCUACCCACCUCAGCAUCUUUGUCCCAUUGUCUGGGAGAAGCAGCCACAUGCUUUCGGAUGAUUAUCCCUCACGUCUGCUUCUGAUAUUCUAGUAGACCUAUUUGUCACCCAAAGCAACUGAUGUGACAUCUCCUCUGCUGUGUGUUAGGUCUCUGAGAUUACAAUUUUUUUUCAUAACUGACACCCCUAGGCCAGCACCCACUUUCUGUCCCUUGCUUGAAACGUGAGAAAACACUGUCUUUCAGGAACACACAAAUCAUCUCCAAUUAGUUCUUGACUGCAAAGAAUUUUACAGAUAACGAGCCUCACCCCAUGUGUUGAUUCUUAUUGAGUUUGAUUUGAACAGGAUUGCCUUCUGGCCCUGUCCAAAGAUUCUGGAGUUUGGGCUCCAAAGGCAUUCCCUGGAUUUGGUCCAGUGGUGUCAUGCCUGGAAGAGCAUGCUAUGACAUUACCUGCAGAGAAAGCUGCCUCUAUUUCCCUCUCAUUUCUUCUUUGCAUGGAGGUCGCAUAAAGAUCAGUAACAAUGGUAAAUUUACUUUAAAAAUGUCAAUAAUGCCGGGCAGUGGUGGCACACGCCUUUAAUCCCAGCACUCAGGAGGGAGGCGAAUCUCUGUGAAUUUGAGGCCAGCCAGGAGAAACUCUGUCUUGAAAAACC
rnacentral:lncRNA from 1 species